rnacentral:tRNA from 1 species
GGUCCCGUAGCUCAAUUGAUAAACUCUAAUUUCUAAAUUCUUUAUAGGUCCCCGGAGCCAACUGCCUUUUAGCAGGUAGGUUAUGAGUUCGAUCCUCGUCGGGAUCA